AGGCUGCGCCUAGGAGCAGGACUCGCUGCCGGGACCCCUUCAUGCGCAGACGGGAUACUGCAGCAGUGCUAUCAGAUCCAAACUCAAGUCUCCAUGGAUGAAUAAAUGAAUGGAUUUAUUUUAUUGCAGCACUUGGCCCUCAGUAAAUGUCAGAGAAUGCUUCAAGCAAGAUGUUUUAAAGUACAAGGCAUAAAUGCUGUUGGAACUAUUACUGAUGAUCUCUACCAUGCCCUCAAGAACUUUUCCAAGCUGGGUACUGAGGUACUACCAAAGCUGUGGCAAAAGGCAGAGUUCAGGAUUCCCCUUGUCUGAAAGUUUUUGGGUGCAGAAAAGCCUAUGACCAGAGUUUUAUGUCUUCAGAAGACACAGCAGAACUCCUCACACUGAGACCUGAGUUGGCUCCAAGAGCCACACAGCCCCAUGGCUUUGGCUCCAGGGGAACCACAGCAGUUCCAAGGUCCUGGGAGACUUGGAUGGAGCGGCCUGGCCCAUUGGACCAUUCAUUUGAUGCAAGAGCCAUGAAAGGCUCAGAUUUAUGUCACAGAAGCAGUACUUCUUCCAUUAGCUAUUUAUGGAUUUAUGCAUCUUUGCAUUUCUCAACUGUAAAUAAAAUAAAUAACAGGCACUGAAAGCCUGGCAGCAUGACAGGGACCUUUAUAGGAUGCAGAACAAGGACAAAAUUAAAAGCAGAGAGAGUAUAUAAAUCUGUGACAGGGCUUCUGACACUUGCGUGGGUAAUUGCUGCACUCUGUGCUUUACAGUCCUCAUUACAUGUGUGUGGGGUCAGAGAGAGUAUACAUCCUCCAGAGAGGAUGAGAUUCUUGCUGUAACGUUAGACCAGCCUUUCAUAGGAAAACCUUGGAGAGACUUGGCCUUGUGUAGGCAAAUGUGAUGGCUGCCACCAGCAAACUGGCUUAAUUAUUUGUAAGAAAGCUUUGGGGGGUAGGGAUGAUGAAAGGCAAUAUUCAAAUUCAUUUGGAUGAAAGCAGAAUUCAACAAGCUCUUUGGAUUGUGGACAAAAUUCAGACAGAGAUGGCCAAGGAAAGCCUCACUGACUUGUGAGACCCCUUGAAGGGCACAGCAAAACUACUUGGCUCGACUUGGUCCUAUGUGCAUGCAGCACCGGCACUGGGUGGGAAACUACAAUGGAGGGGCAGUGAUUUGCACUACUUUGCCUUUCAUCAUCUGACUGCUCCUGGCUUGCUGGCCGUGCCUGAGCUCCCAGAUUUACUAGGAUAAUAAGGUUCCCAUCAAAAAGCAACUUUAAGCAUGUGCUUAACUUUCACCACAUUCAGCUUAACUCCAUGGCCUUCUUGCAACUUAAGGGUGCAUUCUGUUGCCUUGCUGAAUUUAGGCUUGAAGUUAGAACAGAUGUGUACACACAAACAAAUAUGUAUGUGUGCAUAUAUACCGACAUAUAAAAUGCAUAUAAUACUUGCUGUCAUUAUAGCAACAGAAUGUCUGUGUGCUGCUGAUGCCUUGGUAACAGCGUCUGUAUAUGUCUACAUAUGUGUAUAAGGGCUGCCAUGGGGUUGGGUGUAGCAUAUACUUAAAUAAAGCUGUAAAAAGCAUAGCAAUAGGAAAACAUAAUGAGACAUCUAUCUGCCAAAUCAUUAUCCCUUUUACACGUCCUUACAACCCCUGCCUCCAGUUCUGCUCUUUGUUAUAAGUAAGGAAGAGUGAAAAGUCUCUGGAACAUCCUUUUUUUUUUCCUGUGUUUCUCCCCAAAGCCCAACAUGUACUAGACAAAGGAUGGAUAAAAUUUGGAGAAAAAUAACAGUAUUACAACACAUUGACAUGUGGACAGGAGUGAAACCUGUUUUCUUUGGUGAAUCCUUUACCCCUGAAGAGUGAGUGCAACAGAUCGUCAGUAAUAACGCACCAGGGAGAAGGAAAGCAGCAUGAAGUCAAAUGUAUCUACCUUGGUCUAGUCCAAAUGGCAAGAAAUAGCUGUUCUCCACAGCAACCAUAACAAUUAGACAUAGUUCUGAAUCCCUGAUUUUCUCAUCUAAUAGUUAACACCAAAAAACACCUAUGCCAUCAUUGAUAUCUAAACUGUUGCAGUAAGAUUAGUGAAUUUGUUGGGUACCUUCUGAACAGAAAUAAGUCGGCAUGCUCAUGUUCAUAGCCAGAAUUUGAGGCACGCAUUGCUAUACU